AGAGCUUGAGUGGCAAAAUGGUGAAUGCUAGAGUGCUGACAGUGGAAAUGGCCAGGAAGCAUCCUGAGAUCAGGCCCAUGAACAGAUAUCAGAUGAAGCAGGAGACAUUACAGAGAAACUAGAGUAAGGUGCACCCUUCCUAUCUACCUCAGCAGGCUAUUCCGCCUAACAGUUGUGCGCCUAAGAAAAACCAGUCAUAUUUAGAGGUGACCAGGGGCUGGAGGCAGAACCGCCCACCAGAUGUUCGAAGAAAUGCCCCAGUCAAUAACUUGGUGGUCUCAACAUAAAUAUUAUUACUUCCAAAAGGGCUAAAGGGUGAAAGAACAAAACAAGCAAAGCUCAAAGAAAAUAAAAGACCUACAGGUGGGCCACCUACAACUCAAGUUAGAGUGCUUUCUGAAGGUACACUUGCCUAACACGUAUUAGAUGGGACCUCACUGUCUGGAUUCCAUGCAUCUAAAUUCAGGCAAAUAUGAUUAAUAGGUGUUGAGGAACAAUUGCUCAUUUGUCUUAGCCAUUGAUUUAACAUGUCUUGUUGUCACUACUUGAGCAUCAUAUUUCCAAAUGCCAGAUGCACUGAUUCAGCAUUCAGCAUGCAAGUCAAACCAAAUCAAUCCAAAUCAUGCGCUCUCACGUAAAUGCAUCUUUAACCAAAAUCUGUACUAAUUCAGCUUUCCAACUAGAAGAUUUGGGUACAUUUAAUGGAAGGUCGAAAUGAGAACUAAUCGAAGUUUCUCAUCAAUUAACUGAUCUGAUUUUUUGUUAUGGCCUAUAUCCUGGCUAUGUUAACUAUUUGGGUGGUUAUAUUUGUCUCAAUGUAUGUCCCAUUCAUAAUAUCUAUUAAUGCAUGAGUGUCAACCAUCACACUCUAGCAGAGUAUCAAACUUGCCAUCCCACGAGCAAAUCUGAUCUCACACACGUGCCUCAUUUCUAUGUAUGAGGUGAGCGCACUCCACUAAUUGAAACCUUUCUUAUAAGUGCACUUGAAACCCCAAUCAAAGCACACUCUUUUUUCUUUUUCUUUCUAUUAUUUAUUUAUAAAUCAGGAUAGCUCUUGUAAGUCACAAUAGGCAGGUCCAAUAUUCAGCAAGAACCAUUCACUUUACAUCCUUAGUUCUAUAAUCAAUUUUAUCAUGUAUACACUUCAAAACAUUCAAGAUUAAAAAACUAAGACCCACUGCAUUAUCAAUCAGAUCUGUCCAUCUAUUAGACCUUAAUAACGAUUGCUUCAUUUUCAAAAAUCAAACUUGUUGAACAGUCAUCUUAUUCAUCACUUUUCUUUAAGAAAUUUAACUGUUUUUCUUUUUUCAUAUGGUUGCUUUAGUGGCCAUCGAUCAAAUGGACAAAAAUGUCUAAUAGUGGAUGUUACACAGAAAAUCAUGGACCCUGCUUGGCUGAUGCAUCAUGGGGCCAUAAGCCAUGUUGCAAGGAACUUUGGUGUGUGAUGCCCUUGUUUUCCGAGCAAAAUCAUUUGUUGACCUGGGGCAAUAUAAGUCCUAUAACUCAAAAUCAGCUUUUCUUUAAAUUAUUUACAUGAUGCCCUUUUUCUCUGAACAAAAUCAUUCAUCUGUGCGACUCUCCUCAGGAACUAUUUCUGCAUCUGUUUGUAGUUCAGGGUAUUAUAAUUCUAUUAUGAAAAAUAGGUUUUUCUUUCAAUUGAUGUUGUGUUGUGCUUGUUUUUCUUUUAGAGUGAAACUAUAUGAAGCCGGUACCAUUUAGCCCCCAGUUUAUCAUCCAUGUUGUUUAACAUAAAGUAGGGCAUGUUUCCUUUUAUUGAUCUUGAAGAAUGUGUUGUUGAAAUUUGUGCUCUUAUGUUGUUGGAAUGAUUUUCUUUUUGUAGAUGGAUAACAUGGAGUGCUUUUUCAAGGAGAAAAUGGGUGUCAUUGCCGAACUUCUGGAGUACCUAUGGAAUGUGCCUAGCCAUUGCAUAGCAUGGAAGCAGGUUGGUAAGGAGAAGGAAAAUGAAAAGGAAAGCAGCUAGAGUGCAAGGUUUGCAGUUUCUGUAUAAUGAAUGGUACAUCGUCUGCAGGGCUGUAAUCAGAGUUGUAAUCUGAAACAAGGGAGGAUGGCAUGUUUAUCCCUUAUUUGAAGAGUAAUAUUUAUUUUUCAUUUGUUAUCUGUCUUUGAAUGAUUAAUGUUUUUUUUUUUCCUUCUUUCUCCUAUUUCAGGGCUUGGUUGCAGAAAUAUGUGCUUUGACUAUAGAAACAGCAUGGAACCAGAGCUGGGAAGGUACAGAAGAACAGAUGGAAAGAAAUGGUGAUGCUCUAAGGAUGUGGCGCCGGAUCAAAAGUACUGUGAGCGCCACAUGCGUAGAGGCCAUCAACGUUCAAGAAAGCCUAUGGAAGGCAAUGCCACUGCCAACAACAACACGACCACCACCACCAAAAACACCAUCGUUUCCAACACCAAUCUCUCCAUUUCAAUCUUCUUUAAUUACGGAGAGAAUAUUUUGUAGGUUCAAAUUUAAAUAGUCUUACUGGGAUCCACCACAUUGCUUGUAGAAACUAGCAGAGCUGAAUUACACUGCUGCGGCCUCACCAUAAAGCUGAUUCCAAGGAUUAGUCUACAAGCUAUGGCCCAAAAACUGGUUUACUAAAUACAUGUCACAUUUUAAGGACAAGCUCAAACAUAAGGUACAUCCAAAAUUUAAGUGGGCCACAUCAUUAAAAACAGUGGGGAUGCAAACACCACAGUUGAAACUUUCUCGGGCCCACUUCUUCUAUUUUAUUUU